rnacentral:rRNA from 1 species
UUAAGCGACUAAGCGUACACGGUGGAUGCCCUGGCAGUCAGAGGCGAUGAAGGACGUGCUAAUCUGCGAUAAGCGUCGGUAAGGUGAUAUGAACCGUUAUAACCGGCGAUUUCCGAAUGGGGAAACCCAGUGUGAUUCGUCACACUAUCAUUAACUGAAUCCAUAGGUUAAUGAGGCGAACCGGGGGAACUGAAACAUCUAAGUACCCCGAGGAAAAGAAAUCAACCGAGAUUCCCCCAGUAGCGGCGAGCGAACGGGGAGGAGCCCAGAGCCUGAAUCAGUGUGUGUGUUAGUGGAAGCGUCUGGAAAGGCGCGCGAUACAGGGUGACAGCCCCGUACACAAAAAUGCACAUGCUGUGAGCUCGAUGAGUAGGGCGGGACACGUGGUAUCCUGUCUGAAUAUGGGGGGACCAUCCUCCAAGGCUAAAUACUCCUGACUGACCGAUAGUGAACCAGUACCGUGAGGGAAAGGCGAAAAGAACCCCGGCGAGGGGAGUGAAAAAGAACCUGAAACCGUGUACGUACAAGCAGUGGGAGCCUCUUUAUGGGGUGACUGCGUACCUUUUGUAUAAUGGGUCAGCGACUUAUAUUCUGUAGCAAGGUUAACCGAAUAGGGGAGCCGAAGGGAAACCGAGUCUUAACUGGGCGUUAAGUUGCAGGGUAUAGACCCGAAACCCGGUGAUCUAGCCAUGGGCAGGUUGAAGGUUGGGUAACACUAACUGGAGGACCGAACCGACUAAUGUUGAAAAAUUAGCGGAUGACUUGUGGCUGGGGGUGAAAGGCCAAUCAAACCGGGAGAUAGCUGGUUCUCCCCGAAAGCUAUUUAGGUAGCGCCUCGUGAAUUCAUCUCCGGGGGUAGAGCACUGUUUCGGCAAGGGGGUCAUCCCGACUUACCAACCCGAUGCAAACUGCGAAUACCGGAGAAUGUUAUCACGGGAGACACACGGCGGGUGCUAACGUCCGUCGUGAAGAGGGAAACAACCCAGACCGCCAGCUAAGGUCCCAAAGUCAUGGUUAAGUGGGAAACGAUGUGGGAAGGCCCAGACAGCCAGGAUGUUGGCUUAGAAGCAGCCAUCAUUUAAAGAAAGCGUAAUAGCUCACUGGUCGAGUCGGCCUGCGCGGAAGAUGUAACGGGGCUAAACCAUGCACCGAAGCUGCGGCAGCGACGCUUAUGCGUUGUUGGGUAGGGGAGCGUUCUGUAAGCCUGCGAAGGUGUACUGUGAGGUAUGCUGGAGGUAUCAGAAGUGCGAAUGCUGACAUAAGUAACGAUAAAGCGGGUGAAAAGCCCGCUCGCCGGAAGACCAAGGGUUCCUGUCCAACGUUAAUCGGGGCAGGGUGAGUCGACCCCUAAGGCGAGGCCGAAAGGCGUAGUCGAUGGGAAACAGGUUAAUAUUCCUGUACUUGGUGUUACUGCGAAGGGGGGACGGAGAAGGCUAUGUUGGCCGGGCGACGGUUGUCCCGGUUUAAGCGUGUAGGCUGGUUUUCCAGGCAAAUCCGGAAAAUCAAGGCUGAGGCGUGAUGACGAGGCACUACGGUGCUGAAGCAACAAAUGCCCUGCUUCCAGGAAAAGCCUCUAAGCAUCAGGUAACAUCAAAUCGUACCCCAAACCGACACAGGUGGUCAGGUAGAGAAUACCAAGGCGCUUGAGAGAACUCGGGUGAAGGAACUAGGCAAAAUGGUGCCGUAACUUCGGGAGAAGGCACGCUGAUACGUAGGUGAAGUCCCUUGCGGAUGGAGCUGAAAUCAGUCGAAGAUACCAGCUGGCUGCAACUGUUUAUUAAAAACACAGCACUGUGCAAACACGAAAGUGGACGUAUACGGUGUGACGCCUGCCCGGUGCCGGAAGGUUAAUUGAUGGGGUUAGCGGUAACGCGAAGCUCUUGAUCGAAGCCCCGGUAAACGGCGGCCGUAACUAUAACGGUCCUAAGGUAGCGAAAUUCCUUGUCGGGUAAGUUCCGACCUGCACGAAUGGCGUAAUGAUGGCCAGGCUGUCUCCACCCGAGACUCAGUGAAAUUGAACUCGCUGUGAAGAUGCAGUGUACCCGCGGCAAGACGGAAAGACCCCGUGAACCUUUACUAUAGCUUGACACUGAACAUUGAGCCUUGAUGUGUAGGAUAGGUGGGAGGCUUUGAAGUGUGGACGCCAGUCUGCAUGGAGCCGACCUUGAAAUACCACCCUUUAAUGUUUGAUGUUCUAACGUUGGCCCCUAAUCGGGGUUGCGGACAGUGUCUGGUGGGUAGUUUGACUGGGGCGGUCUCCUCCUAAAGAGUAACGGAGGAGCACGAAGGUUGGCUAAUCCUGGUCGGACAUCAGGAGGUUAGUGCAAUGGCAUAAGCCAGCUUGACUGCGAGCGUGACGGCGCGAGCAGGUGCGAAAGCAGGUCAUAGUGAUCCGGUGGUUCUGAAUGGAAGGGCCAUCGCUCAACGGAUAAAAGGUACUCCGGGGAUAACAGGCUGAUACCGCCCAAGAGUUCAUAUCGACGGCGGUGUUUGGCACCUCGAUGUCGGCUCAUCACAUCCUGGGGCUGAAGUAGGUCCCAAGGGUAUGGCUGUUCGCCAUUUAAAGUGGUACGCGAGCUGGGUUUAGAACGUCGUGAGACAGUUCGGUCCCUAUCUGCCGUGGGCGCUGGAGAACUGAGGGGGGCUGCUCCUAGUACGAGAGGACCGGAGUGGACGCAUCACUGGUGUUCGGGUUGUCAUGCCAAUGGCACUGCCCGGUAGCUAAAUGCGGAAGAGAUAAGUGCUGAAAGCAUCUAAGCACGAAACUUGCCCCGAGAUGAGUUCUCCCUGACUCCUUGAGAGUCCUGAAGGAACGUUGAAGACGACGACGUUGAUAGGCCGGGUGUGUAAGCGCAGCGAUGCGUUGAGCUAACCGGUACUAAUGAACCGUGAGGCUUAACCU